UACGGAGGGUGCGAGCGUUGUCCGGAAUCACUGGGCGUAAAGGGCGCGUAGGUGGCGUUCCAAGUCAACGGUGAAAGCUCGGGGCUCAACCCCGAGUCGGCCGUCGAUACUGGGAGGCUCGAGCACUGUAGAGGCAGAUGGAAUUCCGGGUGUAGCGGUGGAAUGCGUAGAGAUCCGGAAGAACACCUGAGGCGAAGGCGGGUUGCUGGGCUGACACUGACGCUGAGGCGCGAAAGCCAGGGGAGCGAACGGG
rnacentral:rRNA from 1 species